UACAGAGGGGGCAAGCGUUGUUCGGAAUUACUGGGCGUAAAAGGGCGCGUAGGCGGCCGCCUAAGUCAGACGUGAAAUCCCUCGGCUUAACCGGGGAACUGCAUCUGAUACUGGAUGGCUAGAGAUUGGGAGAGGGAUGCGGAAUUCCAGGUGUAGCGGUGAAAUGCGUAGAUAUCUGGAGGAACACCGGUGGCGAAGGCGGCAUCCUGGACCAACACUGACGCUGAUGAGCGAAAGCCAGGGAGCAAACGGG
rnacentral:rRNA from 1 species